AUUGAACGCUGGCGGCAUGCCUUACACAUGCAAGUCGAACGGCAGCACGGGAGCAAUCCUGGUGGCGAGUGGCGAACGGGUGAGUAAUAUAUCGGAACGUGCCCAGUCGUGGGGGAUAACGUAGCGAAAGCUACGCUAAUACCGCAUACGAUCUAUGGAUGAAAGCGGGGGAUCGCAAGACCUCGCGCGAUUGGAGCGGCCGAUAUCAGAUUAGGUAGUUGGUGAGGUAAAGGCUCACCAAGCCGACGAUUUGUAGCUGGUCUGAGAGGACGACCAGCCACACUGGGACUGAGACACGGCCCAGACUCCUACGGGAGGCAGCAGUGGGGAAUUUUGGACAAUGGGCGCAAGCCUGAUCCAGCAAUGCCGCGUGCAGGAUGAAGGCCUUCGGGUU
rnacentral:rRNA from 1 species